CUUACCAUGGUUUUAACGGGUAACGGAGAAUUAGGGUUCUAUUCCGGAGAGGGAGCCUGAGAAACGGCUACCACAUCCAAGGAAGGCAGCAGGCGCGCAAAUUACCCAAUCCCGACACGGGGAGGUAGUGACAAUAAAUACUGAUACAGGGCUCUUUUGGGUCUUGUAAUUGGAAUGAGUACAAUGUAAAUACCUUAACGAGGAACAAUUGGAGGGCAAGUCUGGUGCCAGCAGCCGCGGUAAUUCCAGCUCCAAGAGCGUAUAUUAAAGUUGUUGCAGUUAAAAAGCUCGUAGUUGAACUUCCCCCGGCGCGGGCCCCUGUUUUUCGGGGGACUUGGGCCGGGGUCCUUCGGGAAAUUACUUUGAGUAAACGAGAGUGUUCAAAGCAGGCGCGCAGCCUGAAUCUUCAAGCAUGGAAUAAUAAAACAGGACAAUGGUUCUAUUUUGUUGGUUGUAAGCCAUCGUAAUGAUUAAUAGGGACGGUCGGGGGCAUCAGUAUUCAGUAGUCAGAGGUGAAAUUCUUAGAUUUACUGAAGACUAACUACUGCGAAAGCAUUUGCCAAGGACGUUUUCAUUAAUCAAGAACGAAAGUUAGGGGAUCGAAGAUGAUCAGAUACCGUCGUAGUCUUAACCAUAAACUAUGCCGACUAGGGAUCGGGCGCGCUCACAACAGACGCGCUCGGCACCUUACGAGAAAUCAAAGUUUUUGGGUUCUGGGGGGAGUAUGGUCGCAAGGCUGAAACUUAAAGGAAUUGACGGAAGGGCACCACCAGGAGUGGAGCCUGCGGCUUAAUUUGACUCAACACGGGGAAACUCACCAGGUCCAGACACAAUAAGGAUUGACAGAUUGAGAGCUCUUUCUUGAUUUUGUGGGUGGUGGUGCAUGGCCGUUCUUAGUUGGUGGAGUGAUUUGUCUGCUUAAUUGCGAUAACGAACGAGACCUUGGCCUCUAACUAGGGUGCGCAGCGGUAGCUACGCGACCUUCUUAGGGGGACUAUUGAUGUAAGUCGAUGGAAGUUCGAGGCAAUAACAGGUCUGUGAUGCCCUUAGACGUUCUGGGCCGCACGCGCGCUACACUGACGGAGGCAGCGAGUUGACCUUUGCCGAGAGGCAUGGGAAAUCUUGAAACUCCGUCGUGCUGGGGAUAGAGCAUUGCAAUUUUUGCUCUUCAACGAGGAAUUCCUAGUAAGCGCAAGUCAUCAGCUUGCGUUGAUUACGUCCCUGCCCUUUGUACACACCGCCCGUCGCUACUACCGAUU
rnacentral:rRNA from 1 species